rnacentral:misc_RNA from 1 species
GUGAAUCAUCGAAUCUUUGAACGCAAAUUGCACUCUCUGGUAUUCCGGGGAGUAUGUCUGUUUGAGGGUCGGUAAAAUAAACAAUCGAGUCGUCGCGCUUUGUUUAGGGGCGUUCGCGUCGGCAUUGAGCCGUCUUUCUAAUGUGAAUUCAUGUCAAAGUUUCUUGUAAUUCAUCUUUCCGGUACGAUUAAAUCGUACUUAACACCAAUCUUGAUUAAGUACG